rnacentral:rRNA from 1 species
GAAUUUUGGACAAUGGGCGAAAGCCUGAUCCAGCAAUGCCGCGUGCAGGAUGAAGGCCUUCGGGUUGUAAACUGCUUUUGUACGGAACGAAAAGCUUUGGGUUAAUACCCUGGAGUCAUGACGGUACCGUAAGACUAAGCACCGGCUAACUACGUGCCAGCCGCCGCGGUAAUACGUAGGGGGCGAGCGUUGUCCGGAAUUAUUGGGCGUAAAGGGUUCGCAGGCGGUUUUGUAAGACAGAGGUGAAAUCCUCGGGCUCAACCUGGGAACUGCCUUUGUGACUGCAAGGCUAGAGUACGGCAGAGGGGGGUGGAAUUCCGCGUGUAGCAGUGAAAUGCGUAGAUAUGCGGAGGAACACCGAUGGCGAAGGCAACCCCCUGGGCCUGUACUGACGCUCAUGCACGAAAGCGUGGGGAGCAAACAGG